rnacentral:rRNA from 1 species
UAGGGAAACUUCCGCAAUGGACGAAAGUCUGACGGAGCAACGCCGCGUGAGCGAAGAAGGCCUUCGGGUCGUAAAGCUCUGUUGUUAGGGAAGAACAAGUACCAGAGUAACUGCUGGUACCUUGACGGUACCUAACCAGAAAGCCACGGCUAACUACGUGCCAGCAGCCGCGGUAAU